rnacentral:rRNA from 1 species
UACGGAGGGUGCAAGCGUUAUCCGGAUUUACUGGGUUUAAAGGGUGUGUAGGCGGACUUUUAAGUCCGUGGUGAAAUCUCCGGGCUCAACCCGGAAACUGCCAUGGAUACUAUUGGUCUUGAAUGUUGUUGAGGUGGGCGGAACGGGUCAUGUAGCGGUGAAAUGCAUAGAUAUGACCCGGAACACCGAUUGCGAAGGCAGCCCACUAAGCAACGAUUGACGCUGAGGCACGAAAGCGUGGGGAUCAAACAGG